GACGAACGCUGGCGGCGUGCUUAACACAUGCAAGUCGAACGGAAAGGCCCUGCUUUUGUGGGGUGCUCGAGUGGCGAACGGGUGAGUAACACGUGAGUAACCUGCCCUUGACUUUGGGAUAACUUCAGGAAACUGGGGCUAAUACCGGAUAGGAGCUCCUGCUGCAUGGUGGGGGUUGGAAAGUUUCGGCGGUUGGGGAUGGACUCGCGGCUUAUCAGCUUGUUGGUGGGGUAGUGGCUUACCAAGGCUUUGACGGGUAGCCGGCCUGAGAGGGUGACCGGCAACUUGGGGACGGAGACACGGCCCAGACCCCGACGGGGGGCAGCAGGGGGAAAUAUUGCAAAAGGGGGGGAAGCCGGACGCAGCAACCCCGCGGGCGGGAUGGGGGCCUUCGGUUUGAAACCCGUUUUCGCCUGUGACAAAGGGGGGGGGAGGGAAAGGGGAAAAGAAGCCCGGCCAACCAAGGGC
rnacentral:rRNA from 1 species